rnacentral:rRNA from 1 species
GACGAACGCUGGCGGCGUGCUUAACACAUGCAAGUCGAGCGGUAAGGCCCUUUCGGGGGUACGACGAGCGGCGAACGGGUGAGUAACACGUGGGUGACCUGCCCUCAGCUCUGGGAUAAGCCUGGGAAACUAGGGUCUAAUACUGGAUAUGACUCCACGGUGCAUGUCGUGGGGUGGAAAGCCUUGUGCGGCUGAGGAUGGGCCCGCGGCCUAUCAGCUUGUUGGUGGGGUGAUGGCCUACCAAGGCGACGACGGGUAGCCGGCCUGAGAGGGCGACCGGCCACACUGGGACUGAGACACGGCCCAGACUCCUACGGGAGGCAGCAGUGGGGAAUCUUGCGCAAUGGGCGAAAGCCUGACGCAGCGACGCCGCGUGAGGGAUGACGGCC